rnacentral:lncRNA from 1 species
GACCUCACAAUAUUAUACUAGCUAGUAAGACCUAGCUAGAAUAAGAAGAAGAAAGAAAAUAUUUUAAUAUAAUGUUGUUUCCAUUUUGAACUAAGUUUUAUGGUCCCUUUUCUUUUUGGAUGAAAAUGUAAUACCUAUUUUAAGUAAAAAGUAGGAGCAUUCUCAAGUUUAUCCAAACUCAUGUUACAAGUGAAAAAUGUGUGCCUUUUUUCCAUGGAAAAUAUUCUUGAUGGUAAAUUUGGCCAAUGUCUUGUCACUCCCUCUUUUAAGCAUGUUGAUUCUGCCAGCAUGUUCUUCUCAAUUUGGAUUUCCUUUUUCUUUCUUUUUAUUGAACUUCACCUUCUAACAUCCACAUCCUAUGCCAGGACCAACACUAAUGCAACACAAUGUGGUCAAUCAUCUUUUGCCUAACAUUUGAAGCAAAUUACAUUGAAAUAACAUGCACAACAAAGGCUUAAACAUCCACAAGUGAAAUCCAUCUAUUCCAUAUGAUUUAUUUUUUGUUAGUGGUUUAAAAAAGAAUGACACAUUUUUGUAUUUGGUAACAAUUUAACUUAAAAAAUAUUUAUUUUACCUUUACACCUUGUUUGGAUGGUUGUUACCCGUUGUAUUAUAUUGUAUUGUUAGUUUAGAUAUAAUGUUUGUUUUGGUUGUUACUUAAAUUCUAUCGUUUACAUCCAUCAUUAUGUAACGACGAAAAGACGAUUUGGUGUGAUCGCGUCGUUGUCUUAAUAUUUUAUUCUCAAUUAUCUUUAUUUAUUAUUUAAUAAUCAUAUUUCAUCUUUUAUCCUACAUUUUCAUAAUAGUUCUACCCGUCCCGUACCCUACUUAUCUUGUAGGUUUCUCACUCAAAUUAUGGAUGUGUGACAUACUGACAUUAUGUAACGACGAAGAACGAUACAAUCUAUCCAAACAAUGUAUUCAUUAAAGCAAUACUAUACGAUACAAUACAACAUAAUACGAUACAUUAUGAAACAAUAUGUAACAACCAUCCAAACUAAGUAUUAAUGAAAUGAUUUAUAGUAACACAUUCCUUAAUUUAUUUUGAGGUACAAGUUUUAUAAGUUUUUCUUUCAUAAAUUUCGUGUCAAAUCAAACCAUAUCACAUAAAUUAAGUGUAGCGAAUAUGAUUUAGAGGAGCACAUACUCUUUCCAAAGUUAGGCGUUUGACCAAAGUAUUUGAGAGCCUAAUUUCAAGUUUUGAUUUCAAUCAACAUUGUUAAAGUUGUAUAAAAUUUCAGUUUCUAACUUUAAAUCAUGAUUUCAAAUCUCAAAUUCUCUAAAAUAGGAUUUGUAAUUUCAAAUUAUGAUCUCAAUUUUUCUUAAAUAUAAAACUUGACUCACAAAUUUAUAUUUUAUAUAAAAAAAAACCCCCAUAAUUUUAAAUUUUAUAAAAAAAAAGAGACUCAUGUUUGACAUAGUGUACUAUGUGAGAGGAUUUAUCAAAGAAUAACUACUAUUCUUGAUUUAGUUUACCAGUAAAUCUUUGUAAAAUGAUGUGUAUUUAAAAGUUUGAAUAACAUGUAAUCACAAAAACAUAUUAAUAAAAGGAAAUGUAAUUUUAAUUUAUUAAUUCGGCAUGUUAGGAUAUCUCGGUACCUUAAUUUUGAACUAUGAUUUGCUCACUUAAUAAAAUUGUAUAAGAGUUGGAGAAGCUCAUCAAUUAUGAGGUUUUCAUGUUAUAUAUAUAACUUAAAAAGUCUAAAUUAUAUGUCCAAACAAAAUUUCAAUCUCAGAUUAACUUGAUUUCCUUGAAAAAUCUUUUUUUUUCCUUCUUCCAGAACAAGUGAAAAAUUUGAUGUUUGGCACUUGGUUUGGCAUCUUUCACAGAGAAGGCAACUGAUAGGGUGGGCAAAGAGUUUACUUUAUACUCUUUCUUCUCCCAUUGAAACAAUGGGUCCCAUAUCUAUCUUCAAGUGGAUUACUUAUGAUUAAUUAAGGAACACUUGUUGUCCAUUAACUUUUAUGGCUAAACUUUAUUUUGUUUUCCUAACACUUCUAACUAUAAAUCAAGAAUUAAAAUUUCCUUGGCUGAAUAUUUGUUGAUAUAUACUGUCCAUUCCUUAACCAUUUUAAAGAGUAUCAAGAUUGAAUUUAUAUAUAUUUUUCAUAUGUCAUUUGAACUUAUAGUUGAUUUUAAUUUAAAUAUGGCCUAUAAUUAAACUGUAACGGUCUGUUAAGUCAUUUAUUAUAGUAAAGAGUCGCAUCAUAUGCAUUGCAUCAUGACUAUUAUUUGGGCAUAUGUCACUUGUUGAAUUUGUGCAUGACAUCUAUAUAUGUUGAUUUGCACUCCUUCUCUUAUUUUUAAUAUGUUUUCGUCGCGGUUUUCUUUUUCUUUGUAUAUGAAAUUGAUGUAUUGGAUAGAGAGUCUUUUAAAAACGACUUCUAUACCUCCAUGAGAUAGUGAUAAGAUCUGCAUACACUUUAUUCUUCUCAAGUCUUAAGAAAAUUUGAAUCAUGAAUAUGAGUUUUUUAUACUCAAGAAUAUGUGGUUUUUUCACAAAAUCUCAAAGGAAAUAAAAAGAAGGUAUCUCCAAAAUUAUGAUUAUUAUAAAAGAAGAUGAUAGAAUUAGAACUUUUAUGGAAAACAAAUAUAGAAGAAAGAGAUUUAAAUUUUUUUAGAUAAAAAUCCACUUUACGUACCUUAAUCUACAGAGAAUACAGAGAAACUGACGAGGAUAGAUAAGAAGUCAUCAUUUAUUAAAAAAAAUAAAAAAGUAAAGAGAAAGAAAAAUAAAUAACAAAAUAAAAAGAAAUUUAAUUUUGUGACUAGCCGCUAGGGGUGUACAUGACCGGGUUGGUUUGGAUUUUUCAAAUAUCAAAACCAAAACCAUUUUGUGUAAAAUUUUUUAAAUUUAUAAACCAAACCAAACUAAUAAAAUUUGGAUUUUUUCGGGGUUUUUCAACCUCGGGGUUGGUUCGGGUUUUUCAAAAUACCAAAUCAAACCAUUGUGUCGAAUUUUUAAUUUAUAAAUCAAACCAAACUAAUAAACCUCGAAUUUUUUCAGAUUUUUGGAUUUUUUCGGUAAAGUUUGCGUACAAACAUAUAAUUAACUUGUGCUCCAAAUAUUUCUUUAGUCCAACCAAAAUACAAUUAUAGAAGGUGUUUCUUAAAGAAUAACACAAAAUAUGAGAUGAGUAUUGAUGACACCAAAAUAUUCAAUAAAAAAUAAUAAUGAAAUCAUCAUAUAAAAUAAAUAUUGCAAAAGUCAUAAUGAAAAUGAUCAUAAUUUAAAAGUACUAAAUCAUGCUAAAAUAAGUUUAAUAAGUAUUAGUUACAUUACUAAAUAUUUAAGAAAAAUUAAAAUUAGAUUAUGUAUUUUAAUUGUCUAAACCAAUGUAAAACUAAAGAACAAAUAUUCAAUAUUAUUGCCAUUCUUAGUGUUGAAUUGAUUUUCUUUUUGCAUUAGUAUUAAUUUAAUUUGAUUUAAGUUUAUUAUUAUCAACAUCUAUGAACUAUAAUCUUUAUUGGAUCAUUCCGAAUUCUAAGUUUAAACUUGAAAUAUUAUAUUAAAAGAUAAAACUAUGAAAUAAUAUAAGAAAUAUUUAAAUUAUAUCAAAGUAAAUAUUUUUAUGUAUAAAAUAAAAUUUUAAAAUUACAUAUAUAAUGUCGGGUUGGUUUGGUCUUCGGGUUGAUUUUUUUAGUUAAAACCAAACUAACCCAAAUAUAGUCGGGCUUUUUUUUUCAAUACCAAACCACUAGUCGGAUCUUUUUUCGAUUUAACUCAAUUUGCGAUUUAAUUCGAUUUUCAGUUCGAUUUUGGACACCCCUACUAGCCGCUAUAAAGGUCACGUAAAUGAUUUAUUUUACCUUUCACANNNNNNNNNNNNNNNNNNNNNNNNNNNNNNNNNNNNNNNNNNNNNNNNNNNNNAGUGCUAACAAAUACUUUUGCCAUUUAUCAAGUCAGCUGAGUUUAACUCUUGAAAAUUAUAGUUAGAGGAUAAUGAAAUAAAACAUAAUUUAAAUAUAAAAGUUGCAAAAAAUAUAUACUAAGAAUAGCCAUUAUCUUUUAUAUUUAUAAUAUAUUCGAUCCAUUGCACAUUAAAUAACCUCAAAACUCCUUUUCCCUUGAGUAAGUGUAUUCAGACGAAUUUAACCUUUAAUUUUAUUUUAUUUUUAGCAUAAACUCAUUAUCCUUUAAUCGAACCAAACUGAUUAAAUAAAUCAAUUUUAUUUGGAUUUGAGUUUGAUUUGAUUUAGAUUUUUUAAAAUCGAUAAUAUUUUGUUUGGUUUUGAUUUUAUUAAAAAAAAUAAAGAAAUAACCGAACCAAACCAAACCAAACCAAACCAAUAAAUUAUAUACAUAUAUGUUUUUAUCAUACAUGCAUAAUAAAUUAUAUUUAUAAACAAUUUUAAAGUAUCUUAUACUCUAUGUUUUCAUCAAAAUUUAUUAUAAUUUAUUUAUGAAAGCAAAAACGUUCAAAAUGAGAACAUUUAUUUUAUUGAUUUUGUGUAUAUCUUUACUCCCGCGUUUAACAUUUUCUUAAAAUUUUGUUCUCCCUGCAGAGCCUUGCCCCAUCCUACCAUGUCAUGUUUGGUUUAUGUUUUUGGAUUUUUUUCUCCUUUGAUGAUCAAUUUGACUUUAUCAUGUCUUACCAGCCAUAUAAUAUAUUUUUCAUCCUUUUAGAAAUCAAAUAUGUAGUCUUUACCACCCCCCCCCCCCCCCCCNNNNNNNNNNNNNNNNNNNNNNNNNNNNNNNNNNNNNNNNNNNNNNNNNNNNNNNNNNNNNNNNNNNNNNNNNNNNNNNNNNNNNNNNNNNNNNNNNNNNNNNNNNNNNNNNNCUUUCCCCCCCCCCCCCCCUUACUCUUCCCUAUUGCCAUCUCUACAUUUGUGGCAUCAUUUUACCAUUUUGUAGUCUUUAGUAUCUACAAUGUAUAUGGAAUAACUUAUUUCAUCACUAUAAUAUAAAUGGUGGAAUAAAUAAUUUAAAAACUACCUAAUACUUCCAACCAAACGCAAGAUAAAAUAAUCCUACAUUUUAUCUUGAAAUUAUUUUACCUUAUAUACCUCAGACCAAGUGACUCCUUAGUCAUAGUUGAUGUAGUAAACCUAUUAUACUUUCGAACUCUUUGCGGUUUCCAUAUAUACUAAAUAAACAAGUUGAAUAUAAUUUAAGAACUUAAUCAUACACUAUCUCUGCGCUGAGUGGGGUGGUGGAAGCUCCAUGCAUACAAUUUUCCCAUUACUUCCUAAUCAAAUGAGAUAAGAAAAUUCUUUUCUUCUUUUCACUAUGAAAAGAAGCCCAGUGUCAUUUCAUUGAAUAUAACAUGGGAAAUUGAAAUAGGAGUCUAAAAAUGAUCAUGGUUACAUUACAUCAAGUAAAGUACCUUGUAGUCUCCAAGGAACAUGUUUAUCAAGUGCACAUGCGUUUCUACGGGUACAAAACUGAAGGAGAUGAAGUACAUUUAACAUUUUUUGGAAUAAUGUCUAAUCAAUUAAAAGUAAGCAACGGUAAUGAUGCCACUGUUAGAGAACUUUACUUAACUUGCACUCUAACUAUAAUUUUAGUUUUAUUUUUCUAAUUAAAAGGUCAUUAGGUAGAUUAUUUGUAAGCACUGUUUUAACUUUGAAGCACACAGAAAAUGCAGUACGAGAAAUGACUCAAAAAUGUCCUCUUUACACCUAUUGGAUUAGAUUUUUUAUUUAAGGACAUUUUUGAGCAAUUUUUAGUGUUUUAAGGGGCAUUUUAAAAUCAAAUAGUGGAAGAAGGGACAAAUCUGAUCAAAUACAAAUAGUAAACAAAAUAUCUAACAUUUUUUUAAAAAGUAUAAACAUCGCAGUAGUGUAAAGUAUUACUCCCUCUGUUUCAAUUUAUUUGUCCUUUUUUGACUUGAUACGAAGUUUAAGAAAAUAAAAAAAAAUACUUUUGAAUCUCAUGAUCUUAAAUUAAAGAUAUGCAAAUCUUGUAGCCUUCAACAUGUAAUGUAAAAAAUUAAAAUUAAAAAAUUGUCAAAAAAAAAAAGACAUUUUUUUUUAAACGGACUAAAAAAGACGAUAGGAUAAACAAAUUCAAAUGGAGAGUGUGCUAUAAAACUACACAUUUUAAAGAAUCCCAAUUUCUUAAAAAAGAUAUUACUAUCACACCACACAUAUUACCUUUUUAAAAGUAAAUAAUCAAUAAUCAUUAUCAGUUGAAAUUUAAAACAUAACUCUUCCGUGAAUAAAUACAAAAUUACUUUCAGAUUACAAAAUAAUAGAAGUGUGAUAAUUUUGAGAGAUUUAGAACUAAGACAUGAAGAUCAAUAAAAUUGAAGAGAUACACUUGACUUGUCUAGCUAUUUAGAAAGAUGUUCAAAUGAUACUCAUCCUCACAAUGUGCUCAAUUAGCAAGAAAGAAAUACUGACUCACUAUUUGAGUCAUUCACAUCUUCAUAUUCUAUUGAUGAAUUGAACAUCUAUUAUUCGUUUGUUAAAGAAUUUGAGGAUUAACAAUGCUAACUAGGGAAUUUGACUCAUGAUUUUGAUAGGAAUUGUUGAGGGAAUCCCGAGCACGUGUCUAGGACACACAAUCAGACGCUUAGAGUGUAAGCCUCACAAGGGACAUGUGAGUGUUAGGGCGUUUAGUGCCCCUCCCAGGGGCCGGACCCAAAAAAAAAAACCUUUUAAAACAGAGUUUGUAAGCAACAGAGAGAAACACGAAGUAGCAUUUGAAUGCAAAACUUCACAUACCCUUUUGCCAACUUUUGGAUUUCGUAAUUGGUAAAGAUUCCACAUUCUUAUUAUUUUUUUGGCGUAAAGCCCUAGUUGCCACUCUGUCUUGAGAAUCUAGCUAUAUUAUUGGAAAGCAACUUGAUACUACACCAGAAAUACUGUUGUUUUUUUUAGGCUUUUGUUUACAUCACAACAAGAAGAACAAAAUUUGAUUGGAACAUGAAGUGGGAAAUUCAUAGUUCAAAAAAGUAGUCUAAUACUUUGAGGAUACCAGUGAUAAUAUAAAAUAAUUUUUCCACUAUCAAUGUAAAAGUUUCAACGAUUUAAGUCAAACCUUUUGAUUAGGUAACAUGAUGUAGUCCAAUUUUACAAGACGUUUGGAUAUUCCUUUCAUGUGCAAGAAUCUGGU